AAAAAGCUGAGAUGGAGAGACAAGAGAGAAAAGAGAGCGAUAGAGAGGAAAAGGAAAGAGAACAACAGAUUCAACAAAUAAACCAGAGGAGUCAGAGAGGAGGACAGAAGGAAUGUGGGAAAGGAGAGAUCGGAGAAAGCAGAGAGUUGAGAGACACACCCAUUAAUCCUCUGCAGAGCUGACGGUCUCAGUAAAAUGCCAAUCUAUCAGCCAUCGGUCUGGAUGUCUCCUGUCUCUUAUACACACUGGCUGGCUGGCUGGAUGGAUGGAUGAAAAGUUCCUGGCGAUGCAGCCACGGACACGUGUGCUCCCACCUGAUGGUGCGGAGAACGAGGGAUGUCAAAAUGGAGGAAGAGAGGUGGGGAUGGGAGAGAGAUGGACAAGAGCACGGAAUGAGAGAGGGGGAGAAGAGAAUAGAGAGUAGGAAGGGAGAGAGGGAGGGUGGAUGAGAGGAGAGGAUAGGGGAAGAGGGGAAAGAUGAACUGUCGAGGACAUGUAGGUGGGGGUGUUCUGCAUUCGGAACAAUUCCAUUUCGCUAUGUUAGCGAGUCCUUUUUAGAAGACAGCCAGUUCCCCGAGACUCUACUGAUACCAUGGUGACACAUACACCAGUGGAGGAUCCUCAGAGAAAGGGGAUGACCAUCCUACUCAGUGAAUUUCAUAAAAAUAGAAAUAGUGAAACAUAAACAAGUUUUCCUUUUAAGAUAAGACUAUACGAUAUAGGCAGAAUCUACCGCACACUCAACAUAAGAUUUGUGAAGGUUCUGGAGGCAAAAGGUAAAACUGGAGAAACAGGAAAAAGGUUCCGAGAAUGAAUCUAGUGGUGAAAGCAUAAGCUACAGAAAGCUAGCACAGCAGGGCAUAAAGUGUGGUGAGUAGUUUAACUGUUUUGAACAAAUUCAUUCAUUUAAAAAAUUAAGGAGAAGCAGCAGCAGAGAGAAAGAGAGCUAGCUAUAUUUUGUUUUAUUUUCUUCUUCUUAAUUUACCUAAUGUGGCUAAUUUAGCCUGACUCAAACAGAGAUUCAUGUUAUUUAUGUUAGCGAGCUGCCUAAGGCUAUUCAACACGGCAACUUUUUCAAGUCAAGGUAAGCUUUCAGUUUUUAUAAAUUUAUUGCCACCGGGCCCCACAGUUUAACUGCUAAACUGCUUGCUGUACUGUACACUGUACUGCAUGACUGUACACAUGGAUUGGAUGGAUGGAUUGAAUCUACACACCACACCCCAUAAUGACGAAGCAAAAAUAGGUUUUUUAGAAAUGUUUGCAAAUGUAUAUACAGUACCAGUCAAAAGUUACUACUAAUUAGUCAAAAGCUAUUUGUCAAAAGCUAAUUAGUAGCAUGUCUCAAAAGUGAGUCGUAAGACUACAUUCAAUACAUGGGUCUUUUGGUGCCUAUUGUGUAUCAUAAUGUGAUUGUCUUCUGUGUGUAUAGACAUUAUGAUAAAAUAAUGUAUAUGUUGAAAGAUAAAGAUGAAAUAAUUCCACUCUGAAACCAUAUAAUUGUAUGAAAUGUAUUUGCAUCAUAAAACUAUAAUCGGAUGAUGUGUGUAGUUUUAGUCAGAAUUAGAACAAGGACCUUUUGUUCCUUUUUAGUAUGUAAGCAGGGUGCAAGUGGGAAACAAAUGAUAAGAGGAGCUAUUGACAGACAAGUUGUAACACUGUGUUCCUUACAGGACAUUCUGUCUCCACCCGUGGAGGGGAGAAACUGUUUGGCUUGCAGAAAAUUAUGAAACAUGUUGCAGAUUUAACAAUGUAUCUGUAUAGUGGAAAAACACAGACCAUCUGAGCAAGGCGUAGUUUAAGAUUUGAACUUGUAUGUAUGUGCGUAGGAUAUCUACUGUUUGUGUGUGAAGGUAUGUGCGUAAGGAGCCAGUAUAAAAUGAAUGUUUUUGUACCACGGACUAGAACGUUCUUGUGAAUAAACACUUUGAUUAUUGUAA